rnacentral:rRNA from 1 species
AGUGAACGCUGGCGGUAGGCCUAACACAUGCAAGUCGAACGGCAGCACAGUAAGAGCUUGCUCUUACGGGUGGCGAGUGGCGGACGGGUGAGGAAUACAUCGGAAUCUACUUUUUCGUGGGGGAUAACGUAGGGAAACUUACGCUAAUACCGCAUACGACCUACGGGUGAAAGUAGGGGAUCUUCGGACCUUGCGCGAUUGAAUGAGCCGAUGUCGGAUUAGCUAGUUGGCGGGGUAAAGGCCCACCAAGUCGACGAUCCGUAGCUGGUCUGAGAGGAUGAUCAGCCACACUGGAACUGAGACACGGUCCAGACUCCUACGGGAGGCAGCAGUGGGGAAUAUUGGACAAUGGGCGCAAGCCUGAUCCAGCCAUACCGCGUGGGUGAAGAAGGCCUUCGGGUUGUAAAGCCCUUUUGUUGGGAAAGAAAAGCAGCAGGUUAAUACCCCGCUGUUCUGACGGUACCCAAAGAAUAAGCACCGGCUAACUUCGUG